CCUACGGGAGGCAGCAGUGGGGAAUAUUGCACAAUGGGGGAAACCCUGAUGCAGCAACGCCGCGUGAAGGAAGACGGUUUUCGGAUUGUAAACUUCUUUGACAGGGGAAGAGCAGAAGACGGUACCCUGAAAACAAGCCACGGCUAACUACGUGCCAGCAGCCGCGGUAAUACGUAGGUGGCAAGCGUUGUCCGGAUUUACUGGGUGUAAAGGGCGUGUAGCCGGGAAGGCAAGUCAGAUGUGAAAUCUGGAGGCUCAACCUCCAAAUUGCAUUUGAAACUGUUUUUCUUGAGUACUGGAGAGGCAGACGGAAUUCCUUGUGUAGCGGUGAAAUGCGUAGAUAUAAGGAGGAACACCAGUGGCGAAGGCGGUCUGCUGGACAGCAACUGACGGUGAGGCGCGAAAGCGUGGGGAGCAAACAGGAUUAGAUACCCUAGUAGUC
rnacentral:rRNA from 1 species